GUGCCUACCCAAUUGAUAUAUAACGAUUUGUAACUGACUUUUAAUCAGUGGGUCCCAGGUUCGAGUCCUGGUGGGCGCACCA
rnacentral:tRNA from 1 species